rnacentral:piRNA from 1 species
UGACAAGAGAGCUGGCAUGCCUUCUGCCCC